UACGAGGGGGGCAAGCGUUGUUCGGAAUUACUGGGCGUAAAGGGCUCGUAGGCGGCCAACUAAGUCGGACGUGAAAUCCCUCGGCUUAACCGGGGAACUGCGUCCGAUACUGGAUGGCUUGAGUUCGGGAGAGGGAUGCGGAAUUCCAGGUGUAGCGGUGAAAUGCGUAGAUAUCUGGAGGAACACCGGUGGCGAAGGCGGCAUCCUGGACCGACACUGACGCUGAGGAGCGAAAGCCAGGGGAGCAAACGGG
rnacentral:rRNA from 1 species